rnacentral:tRNA from 1 species
CAACAAUGAGGGGCUAAUCCUUCCUCUCCUAACCA